UUGCCGCGUGCCGGACUACCCCGGA
rnacentral:misc_RNA from 1 species